GACGAACGCUGGCGGCGUGCUUAACACAUGCAAGUCGAACGGACUACUUUGCUUCGGUAAGGUGGUUAGUGGCGAACGGGUGAGUAACGCGUAGACAACCUACCUCUUAGAUGGGGACAACAUCGCGAAAGCGGUGCUAAUACCGAAUGAAGUGACUUUCCUGCAUGGGAGAGAUACUAAAGGUGGCCUCUAUUUAUAAGCUACCACUGAGAGAUGGGUCUGCAUCUGAUUAGCUAGUUGGCGGGGUAACGGCCCACCAAGGCGACGAUCAGUAGCGGGUCUGAGAGGAUGAACGGCCACAUUGGGACUGAGACCCGGCCCAAACGCCUACGGGAGGCAGCAGUGGGGAAUCUUCCGCAAUGGACGAAAGUCUGACGGGGCAACGCCGCGUGAGUGAAGAAGGUUUUCGGAUCGUAAAGCUCUGUUGUUUGAGACGAAUGUGCCUGUUUCGAAUAGGGAUAGGUAAUGACGGUAUUAAACGAGAAAGCCACGGCUAACUACGUGCCAGCCGCCGCGGUAA
rnacentral:rRNA from 1 species